rnacentral:rRNA from 1 species
GACGAACCGUGCGAACGUUGUUCGGAAUCACUGGGCUUAAAGGGCGCGUAGGCGGGCUGUCAAGUCUGGGGUGAAAUGCCGCGGCUCAACCGUGGAACUGCCUUAGAUACUGACGGCCUCGGAGGAAGGUAGGGGCAUGCGGAACUGUAGGUGGAGCGGUGAAAUGCGUUGAUAUCUACAGGAACUCCGGUGGCGAAAGCGGCGUGCUGGACCUUUUCUGACGCUGAGGCGCGAAAGCUAGGGGAGCAACGGG